GCUGGUCUCGAACUCUUGACCUUGGGUGAUCCACUCGCCUUGGCCUCCCAAAGUGCUGGGAUUAUAGGCAUGAGCCACUGCGACUGGCCCAAAAUCAUAUUAUUUAAAAAUCAAAAAGGACUAGCCAGAUCUGUAGGAUACAGAAGGAACUAAUAACCCUGGCUACCUGUGGGGAGGGCCCCAGAGGUGGAAGUGAGACUUUUUAUUGCAUAUUUUUAAUACUUUCUCAAUUCUGAACCACAUGAAUACAUUAACAAUUUUUUUUAAGUUUUUUUUUUAAGGUGAGUUGAAGUCUUGGGAAUAGACUGAAAACUAACAAAACCGGCCCCAUCGCUGAGGACCAGGAUGGGACAAAAACAAGGGCAGAUGCUGUAGUCUGCAAGCUCAUAUCCUCAAAGAGACCAAAAUGCCAUUUAUAAUUUUACUGUCAUAUUCACUGCAGCCAUGUUAUUUAAAUAGUCAUUACAGAAUCAUGAAAAUAACCACAAGAACUUUUAAGUGUGAAAUAAAGGUCUCAUAAAUUUCUGUUCCUUAAAA